UCUGAAAAAGGCAAACCAACUGUGAAGUUGGGACGCAAAGCCAUGGGUCUUCCAUAGAAAGAAUGCCAGGUUACCAGUC
rnacentral:ncRNA from 1 species